AUUGAACGCUGGCGGCAGGCCUAACACAUGCAAGUCGAGCGGAUGAAGGGAGCUUGCUCCUGGAUUCAGCGGCGGACGGGUGAGUAAUGCCUAGGAAUCUGCCUGGUAGUGGGGGAUAACGUCCGGAAACGGGCGCUAAUACCGCAUACGUCCUGAGGGAGAAAGUGGGGGAUCUUCGGACCUCACGCUAUCAGAUGAGCCUAGGUCGGAUUAGCUAGUUGGUGGGGUAAAGGCCUACCAAGGCGACGAUCCGUAACUGGUCUGAGAGGAUGAUCAGUCACACUGGAACUGAGACACGGUCCAGACUCCUACGGGAGGCAGCAGUGGGGAAUAUUGGACAAUGGGCGAAAGCCUGAUCCAGCCAUGCCGCGUGUGUGAAGAAGGUCUUCGGAUUGUAAAGCACUUUAAGUUGGGAGGAAGGGCAGUAAGUUAAUACCUUGCUGUUUUGACGGUACCAACUGAAUAAGCACCGGCUAACUUCGUG
rnacentral:rRNA from 1 species